GACGAACGCUGGCGGCGUGCUUUACACAUGCAAGUCGAACGGAAAGGCCCUGCUUUUGUGGGGUGCUCGAGUGGCGAACGGGUGAGUAACACGUGAGUAACCUGCCCUUGACUUUGGGAUAACUUCAGGAAACUGGGGCUAAUACCGGAUAGGAGCUCCUGCUGCAUGGUGGGGGUUGGAAAGUUUCGGCGGUUGGGGAUGGACUCGCGGCUUAUCAGCUUGUUGGUGGGGUAGUGGCUUACCAAGGCUUUGACGGGUAGCCGGCCUGAGAGGGUGACCGGCCACAUUGGGACUGAGAUACGGCCCAGACUCCUACGGGAGGCAGCAGUGGGGAAUAUUGCACAAUGGGCGGAAGCCUGAUGCAGCAACGCCGCGUGCGGGAUGACGGCCUUCGGGUUGUAAACCGCUUUCGCCUGUGACGAAGCGUAAGUGACGGUAAUGGGUAAAGAAGCACCGGCUAACUACGUG
rnacentral:rRNA from 1 species